rnacentral:rRNA from 1 species
CCUACGGGGGGCAGCAGUGAGGAAUAUUGGUCAAUGGGAGAGAGCCUGAACCAGCCAAGCCGCGUGAGGGAAGACGGCCCUAUGGGUGGUAAACCUCUUUUGUCGGAGAACAAAACCCGGGACGUGUCCCGGACUGCGUGUAUCCGAAGAAAAAGCAUCGGCUAACUUCGUGCCAGCAGCCGCGGUAAUACGGAGGAUGCGAGCGUUAUCCGGAUUUAUUGGGUUUAAGGGGUGCGAAGGCGGCCUGUUAAGUCAGCGGUAAAAGCACGGGGCUCAACCCCGGCGAGCCGUUGAAACUGGCGGGCUGGAGUUGGAGAGAAGGACGCGGAAUGCGCGGUGUAGCGGUGAAAUGCUUAGAUAUCGCGCAGAACCCCGAUUGCGAAGGCAGCGUACCGGCUCCACACUGACGCUGAGGCACGAAAGCGUGGGUAUCGAACAGGAUUAGAUACCCCUGUAGUC